rnacentral:misc_RNA from 1 species
GAUGAAGAACGUAGCGAAAUGCGAUAAGUAAUGUGAAUUGCAGAAUUCAGUGAAUCAUCGAAUCUUUGUACGCACAUUGCGCCCCUUGGUAUUCCGAGGGGCAUGCCUGUUCGAGCGUCAUUAUAACCCCUCAAGCUCAGCUUGGUGUUGGGGCCUGCUGCACUGGCAGCCCUUAAAAUCAGUGGCGGCGCCAUCUGGCUCUAAGCGUAGUAAUUCUUCUCGCUAUGGAGUCCUGGUGGAUGCUUGCCAUCAACCCCCAAUUUUUCUAUGGUUGACCUCGGAUCAGGUAGGGAUACCCGCUGAACUUAAGCAUAUCAAUAAGCGGAGGA